rnacentral:rRNA from 1 species
AUUGAACGCUGGCGGCAUGCUUUACACAUGCAAGUCGGACGGCAGCACAGAGAAGCUUGCUUCUUGGGUGGCGAGUGGCGAACGGGUGAGUAAUAUAUCGGAACGUACCGAGUAAUGGGGGAUAACUAAUCGAAAGAUUAGCUAAUACCGCAUAUUCUCUGUGGAGGAAAGCAGGGGACCUUCGGGCCUUGCGUUAUUCUGGCGGCCGAUAUCUGAUUAGCUAGUUGGUGGGGUAAAGGCCUACCAAGUCGACGAUCCGUAGCGGGUCUGAGAGGAUGAUCCGCCACACUGGGACUGAGACACGGCCCAGACUCCUACGGGAGGCAGCAGUGGGGAAUUUUGGACAAUGGGCGCAAGCCUGAUCCAGCCAUGCCGCGUGUCUGAAGAAGGCCUUCGGGUUGUAAAGGACUUUUGUCAGGGAAGAAAAGGCUGUUGCUAAUAUCAAUAGCUGAUGACGGUACCUGAAGAAUAAGCACCGGCUAACUACGUG